UAUUGAAUUUAACUUUUAAGUGAAAAGGCUUAAAUAAUCUGAAGGGACGAUAAGACCCUAUAAAACUUUAUAUUUGGGGGUCGUAGGUAGGUUUUGUUUGUUAGUUAUGAUUUUAAAGUAUUUGGUUGGGGUGACAAGGAUAAAAAAAAAGUAACUGUUCUUUUAUUUUUACAAUAAUGUUUGGUAUAAUGAUCCUAAGAUGGAUUAAAGAUUAAGUUACUUUAGGGAUAACAGCGUAAUUUUCUUUGAGAGUUCUUAUCAAUAAGAGAGUUUGCGACCUCGAUGUUGAAUUAAAGGUUCUUUAUGGAGUAGAGACUGUAAAAGAAGGUCUGUUCGACCUUUAAAUCUUUACAUGAUUUGAGUUCAGACCGGCGUGAG
rnacentral:rRNA from 1 species